UGUAAAGUGGUUUACCCAGUUGUAUGACGCAGACUGUUAUUACCUUUCAAUAAGAGCUGAGAUUUUUCUCCUUAAAAAAACAAGACUAUACAUGGUGAAAUACAGAUGUUAUUUACUGCAUUAUCAAUUUACAAAAAAAAAAGUAUGUGCUACUUUGACAUGACAUGUGUUGUUUCAGGGCAUGCUCUCGGCAAAGGGUCUCUUUGCCGAGUACCUGAUGCUUGGCACUAGGCAAAGCAUCCAGCGCUCGGCAAAGGCCGGGAUUCCGGAUUUCCGGUAGUGGAAGAAUGUUGUUAUAUUUCAUAGUGUUGAGAGAUAUGACAACAUUCUUUCAGGUACAUACAGAUCAAUAUAUACCACUACCAAAUGGAGGACUGGUGGGAGGAGAGCAAGCUUAGAUGCAAGAUGAGAAACCCCACUACAAAUUGGGAUGGCAAAGUUCCUUAUUGAAUCCGCCAUGGAGAGUACAUUGAAUGUCAGUAUGUUUCUAGCUCAAAGGAUGUUUGGCCUAGGAUGUCUUUUGGGCAAUAAUCCUAUAUCCAGAUGAAAUGGUGAGCUCAACUAUGUCGCCAAUUCCAAUAUUUAAUCAGGUCUGGGUGACUUGUGAAAUAUUAAUCUGCUGAUUAUCUGAUAAUUCAAGCAAGUACCAGCUAAGGUUUCUGGAUCAGCAUAUGGAAAGAAGAGUAGGGAUGUCCUAAACACUAUUCAGAGUAUUCUGCGAUUUGGACCAAGGAAAGACAGAUUUUGUAAUUGUAAGAAAUGAAAUGGAGCAGUAUUGUAGCUUGAAGAUUUCUUCUGCUUUGGUCUUCAACUAAACAUCAAGUUUCUUUGGGGCGCGGCUACCUAUGCAGAUGUAAUUUUAUCUGAAACAGCCACGGCAACAAUGUUUUGCUAAACUGAUUGUGCCACCUAAAGUAUAUAUACAGGAAUUCAGAUCAAUGUGACAACCAGCUA